UCUCCCUUCCCUCCCUUUUGUGUUUCUCUCUGUCUCUGCUGAUAUUUUUUGCAUGUUUAGAUCAUCUCUCUACUGACCUUUUAGUGGCUUAGCAUUUUGUUGCAAUGCACAAGUGAAGUUGGGAAACAGAGCCAAGUGACAAGCUGUGAAGUAACAGCUCAGCCUUCACAAAGCAAAUGUGCUUUGUGCACUUCCUUGCCAGAGCAGAUGUGGCCUUGGUGGACUGUGGGGAGCAUCAUCUCUCAGGUAAAAAUAAAUUACUAAGAUUAGGACCAAAUGAUGCAAAUCCUUUCAUUUGCAAACAGAUCAUGAACUGGCAGCCAUGUGGAAAGAAGACUAGACUGCGAAUCACUUAGGAUCCCACCCUCGGUUUAGUCUAGAAUACUCUGCGAAUCAGCUUUUUGGCCCUAGGUAGGAAAGAGACAAAUGGAAGCAAAAUAGCAAAAUGGUGAAGAGGAGGGUUCUAGAGGCAGAGAGCCCUGCAGUCCUGAGUCCUGAGUCCACCGUUUAACAGAGUGACUUUGCUCAGCCUGUGGAUUAUAAUGAAACUUGCCUGUAAGUAUGAUUAUGAGUAGUCCUGUAAGGAUAAUUCAUUGCAUUGUGUUAAUCACACAGUGAAUGAUCAAUGAAUUUUAGUUACUGGUAUCAUUAUAUUGAAUUGCUAUACUACUGUAUUACAUUAAAUCAUAUUGUAUCAUAUCAAUCAUAUCAUCUAUUAUAUAUCAGUAGCAUAUCGAUCGUGGCCUUGUAAAACCAGUGUCUACGGAUGUGUUGAACAAAGCCACAUCCUCCACAGAGUCCUCCUCCAAUCACCUCCUUAACUUUCUUCCCCAGAUUGAGAUCGCACCUUAUUUCUCUCUUAUGUAAAUUCUGAAAGUAGUACCCAGUGGUCUUCAGGGAGAGAAAUCUUGUUUUUUCUCUGAAACAACAUUCAGCUACACCCAUGGCUGGGCUCUCCUGGCCUUCCCUACAUGUGUCCCCCUCCCUCUCAUUCAGGAGAGGCCAUUUGAGUUCAGAGUCCUGAUGUGAGGCUUGCGUUUGAGGAAGGAAAACCACUUCAAAUCUCAUUUGUUGACCUGACUUUCACCCUUCCCCUCCAGCAUUCCAAACUCCCACUCACAUCAACAAGCUAGAAUUUUAAACUUGGUUGGAAUUGUAAAAGCUUGAGGUUAUUAGAGCUCAAGGAUAGGGCAGGAGCUGAGUCUGACAGCUUGUUUUACUCUCCGCACUGAGGCAAUCAAGGCCAAGGCAGUGUCAGGGAAAGGCCAGGUUUUCUUGUAGCCUUGGGCUGUUGGCCUUAUGCUAGGGAAGGGAGGUGGAGCUGAAGAUUUGGCAUCAAAUUAGAAAAAAUAAGGUUGGUUAACUUCUCCUCUGCUCUUCUUUUCACCUUCUUUAGGUUAUAGGAUCCAGUUUUUUAGGUGGUAGCAACAUGCUCAAGGAAGAUGCAGCCCCUUCCUCCAGCCUGAGAGAAUAAAGCAUCAUUGGCUUAUGCCAACCAUGGCAAUCCCAUUCCCCUUUUCUCAUGAUUGAUUUGGGAAUGGGCAAGUGACCCAGUUCUAACCAAUGAGACGAAAGAAAAAGUCUAUUGGUCAGCUUAUCUCAGAAGAUUUUUGUUUCCUGCUAUAAAGAGAAACAGUAAGUUCCUUCCUGCCUGACUUAAAUGCAAUUGUGUGCAAACAUGUUACUUGGAGCUACAGCAACGAUUCUGUGACCAUGAGGCAAUAAGCCAAGGACAAAGGAUAGAAUAGUGAAAAGACAGAGUAUUGGAUUUUUUUUAUGAUAUCAUUGAACUGCUGGACCAAUGUGGAACCAUCUACUUUUAGUCUUUCAUGAUUUGUGAGAUGAUUAAACAUUUCUUUUUUUUAGCCAUUAUUUCUUUUCUGUUACUUGCAACUGAAGACAUCCUACAUAAUACAAACACUAUCCAACUUGGAUUGUAAUUUAUCUAUUUUCAGAUCUGUGUGUUCUGUCUUACUGAUUUUUGUAUUCUUAGCACUGAGUAUAAGGCUGCUACUUAGUAAGACUUCAAUAAAUGACUGUUUAAAAAGGUCUUAGAGGAUUUAAAAAAAAUUCUGAAGUUGCUGAAAUAUGAAGACCAGGAACCAAUUUCAGGUUCUAUAAAUUUCUCGCUUCCUUCACUUCUGGAGUAGUCUUCAUUUCUGUCUGAUUCUACCUUUACUAAAAUGAAUGAAUGAUUGAGAAAUACGAAAAAUGGCUGGUAUAGUGGCUACUGCUGAGAAGUAUCUCUUGGAAAUUCCCGGAAAUUCCAUCAGUCACAUUCAGACCUAACUCUCUGAUGAUCAAUGUUUCUGAACUCAAACCAGUGUACAUAAGCAGUGGACUAUUUAAAGUGGUAUUAGCCUAGAAUAUCUAGGACCCAUGUUUUAUGCAUUCAGUAAGCGUUUGUUUAAUGUCUGUUAUCUACCAGGCACAUUAUUAUGCAUUGGGCAUAUAGAGAUGACCAACCACACGGCCUCAAUCCUUGAAAAGCUUACAGUAACCAAAUAGGGUUAACGGCCUAAAGAGAGGUAAUUACAAGUCUUACACUCAGUCUUCUUAGCAUAGUAUGGUGCUACCUCUGAGUUAAUUAAGAUAACAAAAUUCCUAGAUAUAUAUCUUUGAUGAAACGGUUUCCAUGAAAACUUUCCAAGUUUGGUCCCUCCCCGGCUGAGUUCAUUUUGGAAGGUGACUUUCUGCUCUCAUCACCUAAGGUCCUUAACACGUAUCCUGUGUUCUCCGGAGGCACCCCUUGCCCAGAGUGUGCCCUCUGCAUGGUUCCCCCAGAACACCUAUUUCAAAGGAAAAGAAGUUGGAUCAUUCAGUGAAGAUUUGGGGGGCCACUUUUCUACGUGGGAGGAUUAUGAGUAUUACCUUCCUCCCCUAUGUAUUAGUAAAUAUAAAGAAAACAUAAAUUAACCCCCUUUCUGGCUGGGCACGGUGGCUCACGCCUGUCAUCCCGCACUAUGGGAAUCCGAAGUGGGCGGAUCACUUGAGGUCAGCAGUUUGAGACCAGCCUGGCCAACAUGGCAAAACCCCGUCUCUACUAAAAUAUAAAAAUUAGCCAGAUGUGGUUGCACACAUCUCUAGUCCCAGCUACUCGGGAGGCUGAGGCACAAGAACUGCUUGAGCCUGGGAGCAAGGGUUGCAGUGAGCUGAGAUUGUGCCAUUGCACUCCAGCCUGGGUGACAGAGCAAGACUCUGUCUCAAAAAAAUAAAAUAAAAUAAAAAUAAUUUAGACCCCAUUCUUCUUAGAUAACCAUGACUUCUGAAGGAGGUCAGAGCUCUUGUGCUCUGCAUCUCUGCUCCAUCAGCCUCAAGGCCACCUUUCAGGUCCACAUGAAAUAUAAGUGCACAAAGGCACCAGACUUAGCAUUAUUAGUUUCCCCCACUGGUCUGAUUUUUGUAGAAAUUGCCAGGAACUGAUUUUCUGCCCUUCCUUCCUAACAGACAAGCCUUCCAGCCCUCCCUGACACAGCUCUUCCCUAUCUCCUACUCUCUGGUCAUCAAGCUUUUAGAGAUGCCCUGGCCUUCUCUAGUUGCCCCAGCUGUAUUUUUUCUUCUUGGGAAUGCGUUGAUUCCAGAGCCUGACUGGGAAUAAAUCUCAGCUCCUCCAUUUAGCAGUUAUGGGAUUCAAGUUACUCUUACUCCCAGGGACUCAGUUUCUGCACCUGUAAAAUGGAGAUUUACCACCUUUCGUUCCAGCAUUACUGAUAUUGUUUGGCUCUGUGUCCCUACCCAAAUCCCAUCUCGAAAAUUAAUCCCUAUAGUCCCCACCUGUUGAGGGUCCUGGUGGGAGGUAAUUGGAUCCUGGGGGCGGCUUUUCCCAUGCUGUUCUCGUGAUAGUGAGUAAGUUCUCACGAGAGCUGACGGUUUUAUAAGUGUUUGACAGUUUCUCCUUCACACGCUCUCUCUUCUGUCUCCUGCCAUCAUGUAAGAUGUGCCUGCUUCUCCUCCUCUCAUGAUUGCAAGUCUCCUGAGGCCUCCUCAGCCAUGAAGAACUGUGAGUCAAUUAAACCUCUUUCUUUUAUAAAUUACCCAGUCUUGGGUAUUUCUUUGUAGCAGUGUGAAAACAGACUAAUGCAAUUACCAUAAUGGGCUUUCAAUUGAUGAACUUGCAUCACUGACUCCUCAACACGCAGCUGACUUCCUACUGUAAUUGUUCACCAUGCAGACAUUUGUGGAGCCACAAGCAUAACCAUCAUGGUAUUUAAGAUUCGUUCUGUAUCUGGAUUUAUGCAGUUUAUGAAAAAUCAUCAAACUGUCCUUAUUAUUGGUGUCUUUUUUCUGUAUAUAUGUUAUGCUUCAAUAAAAUAUUUACUUAAAAUUAUUUUAGGUAUGUUAAACUCACUACACCAGACAGGGCUUACCUUCUCACUCUGCUGUCUUUAUCCCUCUCUCUAAUUAAAAGGAUUACAC
rnacentral:lncRNA from 10 species